AAAUAUUUUCCGGAUGAAUGGACGGAUGGGUGCACGGGGUGAUGGGAAGAUGUAGGGAUGCUUGCGGUCCGGGCCGCUCGAUUUGCACCUCCUAUGCACGAGGGGGCGCGAACAGCCCGCGCGCGGGUGCAGCUCCGCAGACGCGGCUCUCGGCCGCAGCCCGCGCUGCAGGUGCCUUUCGGCCGGCGCUGGGUGGGUGGAGGGUGUCCCUGCGGCUGCGGCGGCCCUUCGCGUUGGUCCCGAGCCGACUCGAGCCGGGCCGCAGCGUCUCCUCCUGUCCCCGCCGCGACGGUCCCGGUGCCCCGGAUGAGCCCACUGUGUGCAGAAGUGUCAUGGUUGUUGUAUCAGGAACAUUCUAGACCCCAGUGUCCUUGAGGAGGGCUGCCUUGGAUCUGGAGAUUGUUGGAGGAAUUCUGAGGGGAUGGAGGCACUGGUGCUCUCGGAUUGACCUUGGUCCCAGCUGUCCUGGAGGGACCUCAUCAUGAUUGUCGUUUGGGUGGAUCAUGGACAUUGGAGUAGCAUAAUGAAGAAAGCUGUUGCCGUGUGAACGUUGCCAGACCUUCUCACCAUGUUGCCUCAGCAAAGCAUGGAAGGGCUUUUCUCUCUGUGUAAGCAGGCCAGAGGGAAAGCCCUGGGACCCUGGAAGCUUGAGGUGUGGAGCCAGAGACUUGAGCUGGCUCUGCCGUUCCCCCCUGCAGGAGUCAGAAUGCCAUGGACCAGGAAGACUGGUUUGCUUCGACCUGGGC
rnacentral:lncRNA from 12 species